AUCGCUUCUCGGCCUUUUGGCUAAGAUCAAGUGUAAUAAAUGCUUUUAGAAAUUUCUUUAAUUAAUGUCUUAAUAAUGUGUCAUUUGUCCUGUGACUGCUACAGCUUCUGUCUAUGGCUCCAGGGCCUAGAAUGACUUGC
ensembl:snRNA LOC120102764 U2 spliceosomal RNA